rnacentral:rRNA from 1 species
UACGGGAGGCAGCAGUAGGGAAUCUUCCGCAAUGGGCGAAAGCCUGACGGAGCAACGCCGCGUGAGUGAUGAAGGUCUUCGGAUCGUAAAGCUCUGUUGUUAGGGAAGAACAAAUGUGUAAGUAACUGUGCACAUCUUGACGGUACCUAACCAGAAAGCCACGGCUAACUACGUGCCAGCAGCCGCGGUAAUACGUAGGUGGCAAGCGUUAUCCGGAAUUAUUGGGCGUAAAGCGCGCGUAGGCGGUUUUUUAAG